rnacentral:rRNA from 1 species
CUACGGGCGGCUCCAGUGAGGAAUAUUGCACAAUGGGGGGGACCCUGAUGCAGCAACGCCGCGUGGAGGAUGACGCAUUUCGGUGUGUAAACUCCUUUUAUAUGUCAAGAAAAUGACGGUAGCAUAUGAAUAAGCACCGGCUAACUCCGUGCCAGCAGCCGCGGUAAUACGGAGGGUGCAGGCGUUACUCGGAAUCACUGGGCGUAAAGGACGCGUAGGCGGGUUGGAAAGUCAGGUGUGAAAUCCUACAGCUUAACUGUAGAACUGCACUUGAAACUUCUAAUCUAGAGUAUGGGAGGGGGAGAUGGAAUUAGUGGUGUAGGGGUAAAAUCCGUAGAUAUCACUAGGAAUACCUAAAGCGAAGGCGAUCUCCUGGAACAUUACUGACGCUAAGGCGUGAAAGCGUGGGGAGCAAACAGGAUUAGAUACCCCGGUAGUC